rnacentral:rRNA from 1 species
UACGGGGGGGGGCAAGCGUUGUUCGGAAUUACUGGGCGUAAAGGGCUCGUAGGCGGCCAACUAAGUCAGACGUGAAAUCCCUCGGCUUAACCGGGGAACUGCAUCUGAUACUGGAUGGCUUAAGUUUGGGAGAGGGAUGCGGAAUUCCAGGUGUAGCGGUGAAAUGCGUAGAUAUCUGGAGGAACACCGGUGGCGAAGGCGGCAUCCUGGACCAACACUGACGCUGAUGAGCGAAAGCCAGGGGAGCAAACGGG